rnacentral:rRNA from 1 species
CAGCCGCCGCGGUAAUACGGAGGGUGCAAGCGUUAUCCGGAUUUAUUGGGUUUAAAGGGUCCUUAGGCGGACUUAUAAGUCAGUGGUGAAAGCCUGUCGCUUAACGAUAGAACUGCCAUUGAUACUGUAAGUCUUGAGUAUAUUUGAGGUAGCUGGAAUAAGUAGUGUAGCGGUGAAAUGCAUAGAUAUUACUUAGAACACCAAUUGCGAAGGCAGGUUACCAAGAUAUAACUGACGCUGAGGGACGAAAGCGUGGGUAGCGAACAGGAUUAGAUACCCCCGUAGUCCCUGUCUCUUAUAC